UGAAUAACUAUUUCUCUGUGUUCACAAGGGAUAAAUUUAGUGUACGUUUAACAAGUUUGUAUAUGAAUUUGCAUUGUAGAUUUGAUAGGUGUUAUAUUGGUGCUUGGAAGUUUAUUUUGAUUUUUCCAAAAGUUUAAUAUUUUGUCUAAGUAACUAUGCAAUGUAAUUCAUUAUUCUGUCAGGCAUCAAUCCAUUCAUUUGACUUUACUUUAGAAAAAAAUGCUAUAUGGUGAUUAAUUCUGUGCAUUCAUUAUUCGUUCAAAAGAUAUUAUUUGAACUCAUGCUGUGCGUACCAGGCACUAUUACAGGCAUAUGAGAUACAUCUACAAACAGAACCGGACAAAGAUUCCUGCUCAGUGGGGCUUGAAUUUUAAGGGGUGUGAAAGAGACCAUGAGGGCUCACUGACAUUGCUCUUUUCCCAUUUUUGCUUGGCAUGCAACUAGACUACAUUUCUCAGCUUCCCUGUAUCUAAGAAAAACCAUGUAAAUACCAGUUAUCAGUGGAAUGUGAACAGAGUGAUAUGUGUCUUCCCAGAAUAAGACCAUUAAUAGCCGAGGGCCUUUUUUGUCCUCUCUACCACAGCUUAGGGGAGAGAACUUCAUUAGGACCCAGAGGAAGAUGAAACCAUAAAUGAAAGGAAACUGGGUCCUUGAAUGAUGGGUGGAGAAGAAUAUCCUGCUCCCCUGCUUGACUUUGAUCAAGAGAGCUAGGAGCAAGAGAGAAACCUUGUGUUAAGCUACUGAGGUUUUAGUGUUGGCUGUAGUAGCUGGUUCUGGAAGUAAGUUCUAUUACAGCAAAACCUUGAGAUUUGUGUUGUUGGCUUAGCUGUCAGGUAGCCCUGAUAAGGACACCAAUGUUGGAGGUGGGAAGGACAGAAAUCUAUGUUAUGCAGUGGUGACCAGUGGCUAAAUUUGUCAUCCAUAAUAACUUAGAAGGUCCACUUCUUGCCACCUGAGCUCUGGGUCAAAUGUUGGAAAGGACUGAAGUGCGAGUGUGUGUUGACUGUCUUUUGUUAGGUCUUACACGAAAGAGAUGAGCUUAAGAAAGAAUUGUCUAGUUUCCAAGCAAAAAAUGAAAGGGAAUAGAGAAAGUUCUGACAGUUGGAGCAGUGACAGGAAAAACAGAUUGCUUGUAGACCCUAGAGAGCAAUAGGUAAGAGUUGAGAAAGGCUUUGAGCCACAAAGGCCUAGUGAACCUUCUCAGUCAAAGAAAGAUGACAGUCCUAUGGCAAAGAUCGAAUCAGGGCAUGAGUUCUCAUUCUUGGCUGUUCAUCAGAAUUACCUUGCUCUCACUUACAUAGCUUCUGAUUUAAUGGGUCAAAGGUACAUGAAACCUAGAUAAGACAGUUUUUAAAAGUUCCCUCAAGUGAUUGCAUCGUGCAGCCAACGUUGGAAACUGCUGACCUGUUGUUUCAUCUGGACUCCAGGUGGCUUCUGUUAGUUCAAAGCGAGAGGAAUGGAGGCAAAGACAUAAAUCAGCCUUAAGAAUGAUGUCCAGGAAAAGACUUUGUGUGCGGUUACUGGCACAUGGAACUAACUGGAAACAAAUAGAUCAAAGGCCUACUAAGUUUUUGAGGGAAUUAUAUAUUGGCAAAGGAACUAGGAGCCUGCACUUAACAAGCCCCUGACUGUUCUAACUGUAAGACUACUUUCUAACGACCCAGAACUUGCUCUGCAAAGAGGUGGUCUGUGAAGGCUGUACGGCCUCUAGGAAGGGCAUGCCAGAGCCCACUUUGCCAAGGAGGAUAUUAGAUAAGGAAGAACCUUGUGCUUGUGCUCCUCCAUUGUGUGUUGGGCCUGGGGAGGGUGGGUGUGGAUCAUCUGCCCAAUCCGUUCAUAGGGUCCAUCAUUUGGAGCUACGCAUGAUCCUGAUGAAGAAGACUGUGAUAGACCCAGACGUCCUGGACUUGUCUUUAGAUGCACUGACUGAGUGGCGCUUCACAUUUUCUUUUUGGAGAGGUUUGAGUGUGUUUUGUUUGUAGGAAAAGGGAGGAAACAUAUUUUGUGAUCAGAAGUACUUAUCUAUAUCCAUGUUUUGCUUUUCUUCCUGGACCUGUACCUGGAUGAUCUAGCCCGUCAUCCUUGCAGCCUGACAGGGCCAUAUGACUAGUUCUGACCAGUGGGAUUUGUUUGCAGGUGAUCUGUGUUACUUCUGGGUCAGGGCUGUUUAAAGCAGAUGUAUCUCAUCUUCUCUUUACCCUUCCCACUCCCACUAGACAUUGGCCACAUGGAAUGAUCUUCGAAGAAAGUAAUAGCAGCAGAAGCCCUUGAAUGAAAGGGAGCUGGGUACCUAGUAGAUGGAUCAGAGCCCCUCUGCCAGUUUACACUAGGCUUGCACAUGAACAAGAAAUCAAAAAGCAGCAUCCAGAGUAUAGGGUCAUAGAGGCCUUGUUGAUAAAGUGAGAUUUGAACAGAGUCUUUGGUGUAUGAUAGUAGACAUCUGGGGAAGAGGAGGCAUUUUCAGCAUGAAUCCUGUGAGUAGGAGUGUGUUUCUGAGUUCAGGGAACAGCAGAGAAGCUUAUGUGGCCAGAGUGGAGUGAAUAGGAGGAGGUCUAUAGGAAAGGAGGACAGCUCACAAGGGCCUUUCUGACCAUAAUAAGGAUGUUGGCCUUAACUCUAGUGGAAUGAGUAGUGUUUAUUUUUUUUACAGGGGAGAGAGAGAGAGAGACAGAGAGAGAGAGAGAGAGACAGAGAGAGACAGAGACAGAACGAAUGAAUAUGAGUAGGGUAGGGGCAGAAAGAGAGGGAGUGAGAGAAUCCCAAGCAGGCUCCACAUUCAACACAGAGCCUGACUCAGGAUCCUGGGAUCCUGAGACCAUGACUAGAGCCAAAUUGAAGAGUCAGGUGCUCUGGGCAUCCAGGUAGCUCAGUCAGUUAAGCAUCCAACUCUUGAUAUCAGCUCAGGUCAUUACCUCACAGUUGGUGAGAUCAAGCCCUGUGUUGGGCUUUGUGCUGACAGCACAGACAUUGCUGGGAUUCUUUCUCUCCCCCUCUCAGUGCCUGCCUCCCUCCCUCUCUCUCUCUCUCUCUCUCUCUCUCUCUCAAAAUAAAUAAACACUAAAAAAGAAUAGUUGGUGGCUCAACCAGCUGAGCCACCCACUUACCCCAGAAUGUGAGUCCAUAGGGUUUUGAGUAGAGGAAUGGCAUGGCUUGAUUUAUCUUUUAAAAUGAUGAGUCUGGAUAACGUGUAAAGAGUAAAGUGGGAGGAAAAGAUAGAAGCAGAAAGAGCCUUUCAGGAGAGAUGACUGCAGUAAUCAGAACAAGCUGUGGUAGGAUGGUAGCAGUAGCGGUGGUGACAAGGGUAGAACUAGAAUUUACUUUCUGAAUCUGCCUAAUGCGUUGGAUGUGGCUUGUGAGAAGACAGGAGUGAAGGUUUUGUCCUAAACAGCUAGAAGGAUGGAAUUGUCAUCAGCUGAGAUGAGACCGCUGUGGAUGGAGUACAUGUAGAGGUUAGGAUUGAGAGUUCACUCUGGGAAUUCAGUUCAGUUGGAUUUAAGUUGCUUACUAGACAUAGGGAGUUGUUGGAUAGGCCAUGGCAUAUGAGUCUAAACAUAAAGAAGUCUGAGAUAGAGAUGUCAGCUUGGGGGUCAUUGGCAAGUGGUUGAUAUGUAAAGCCAUGCAACUGAACAGUACCACCAAGUGAGUGGAAAUAGAGGCGAGAAGAAAGAAGAGAAGAGGAAUGAGAACUGCCCUCAGGGCUCAUCAUUAAGAGAUCUUAGAGAAGAGGAGGAACCUGUGAACAGUGACACAAGAACCAACCAGUCUGGUCCGAGGAGGGAGGGGCAGAGAGUGACCACCUGCUGGGGUCCUCCAGAGAAGGUCCUCCACAUGGAAACAAGACAGUGGGCCAUGGAAUCAGUAUGGAUUUUUAUAUUCCAGUUUGCAAGGAUAUAGUCGUCAUCUUCUCUUGGUCUUGGGUCAUAUUUCAAGUAACCUUGCCAUUAGGAGGCCUGCACGUACAGUAUUUCAGUUGCUACAAAAUAAGCCACUCCCAAACUGGUCACAUAAAACAACCAUUUUUUUUUAAACGUCUUAUUAUUUAUUUUUGACACAAUGCGAGAGACAGAGUGCAAGCAGCGGAGGGGCAGACAGGGAGACACAGAAUCUGAAGCGGGCUCCAGUCUCGGAGCUGUCAGCACAGAGCCCGACGCGGGGCUCGAAUUCACGAACCGUGAGAUCAUGACCUGAGCUGAAAUCGGACGCUUAACCGACUGAGCCACUCAGACGCUCCCAAAGAACAACCAUUUUAUUUCACCCAUGGGUUUGGUGUCAGGAGUUUGAAUAGGGCAGGGGGGCUGGGUUGUCCCUGCUCCAUGCCCUCUGAGGUCUCUGCUGGAUGACUGAAGUACCAGUGGGGUGGGUGCUUCUUCACUCGCUUGGCCAGUGUCUGCCCUGGGAUGGUUAGAAGGCUGGACUCAGCCACACUGUAGACUGGAGCCACCUGUGUGGCCUCUGAACGUGGCCUCUGCUUUCCGCAGCAUGGUGGCGGUGUUUUCAGAGACAGCAUCCCCUGAGGGAGCAUCUGGAGAACCAAGUGUUCCAAGAGGACUAGGGGAAACCCGUCAGGCCUUUUCUGCCUGAGCUGUGGAAGUCACGCAGCCACAUUCUGCCAACUUCUGUUGGUUACAGUGUCAAGGCACUAGGGCCAGUCCAGCUCAGGGGAGGGAGAGGAUGCUGGUGGCGGUGGUGGGGGUAAAGUCCCAUCACGAGGAGCAUGUGUGGUGUGGUGAGUGGGACGGUGCAGUUAUGUUUGGAAAUAAUUUCCUGGCCUAUAGUUAAUGCUCAGUAAGGAUCUGUUAAAUGGGUGAAUGAAAGGACACCCAGCCGUGCAUCCAAGUCUGCCACACAGGAGGAAAGCCUUACGACCUGAACAAGCGUUUCUGUUUAAAUGGUUAAUUCAGCCAUAGAGACUACCCUAUUUUUCUACAAAGUUAUGCUUUUUAAAAGAGCACUUUGUUAAAACAACGAUGCAUAAUGUUUACUGGGACUUUUAUUCCCUUAUUUAAAUGAUUCAGAUUUGGAGAAAGAUUCUUUUAAAGUAUUUCAAAUAUAGUGCUGUUGUUUUUAAUCCCUGUUUAAUGAUCUUAACCCUGACCUUCAUUUUCCUUGGUUGGGCAUCCAUGCUUUUCUGAUUUACUGUAUGCAUCCUUCCCUCCCUCUUUUCCUCCCCCUCUUCCUCUUCCUCUAUCUCUCAUCUCUGUCUUUCAGUUACUGUGAAAUAUGUACAACAUAAAAUUUACAUUUUAUCUCUUUUUAGGUGUCCACUUCACUGGCAUUCAGCACAUUCAUAUUAUUGUGCAACCAUCACCACCAUCUGUCUGGAACUUUUCCAUUUUCCCAAAGAGAAACUCUUAACCCUUUCUAGAUAUAUGAGGAGGGCUAGAAAGAAGCCAUUUCCUGACCUUCCCUGUGCUUUACAUUCAGAUCUCUGCUUACCCUGGUCUUCACUUUACCAAGAGGUAUUUGACUGAUUUCCACUUGGCAGGAAGUGUGUGUGUGUGUGUGUGUGUGUGUGUGUGUGUGUGUUUAUACAAAAUACACUUGUAGCACAGCUACCAUUUGUUUAGCUGAGUGCCUCAGUAGAGGCAGUUACGUAAUAUGGAAUAUGUGGAAGUUUUUCCUUUCUUCCCAGCAGAGGGCAGACUCCACCUCUGAACAAAGUUACUUCUCUUGUUCUUCAAAAAUCUAUAAAUAAGGAAGUACUUGGAUUUGUUUAGCAAUCUGUUAACAUUAUUGCAUCUUUUUAAAAAAUAAAUAUUAACAGGCAACACACGUGUCUAGGAUACUUGUUUGAGCAUUAGUGAUAUUAAAUAAUUUACUUACUGACUCAGAACAUAUUCUGUUGUCAGAGACCAAGACCUCUGUCAGGUAUUUAAUUCUCCUCUGACUAGUGCACCUCUCCUCACAUCUCUUGAAUUCUGAGAGAAUAUGCAUUCAGUGAGAAGAAGGUAUGCCGUGCCUCUUGGUACACUUCUGCCCAGUUCCAAAUAGUCACAUCAUAAUUAAAUAACUCCUUUGUACAGAGUGUAAAACUAGGCAGGAGGCUUUAAAAAUUUUUUUAAUUAAUUUUUAAAAUUCAAGUGCAGUUAACAUACAGUGUUGUAUGAGUUUCAGGUGUACAAUACAGUGAGUCAACAACUUUAUACCUCACUCAGUGAUCAUCUUAAUUGUCCUCUUAAUCCCCUUCACCUAUUUUGCCCCUCUCCUCACCCACCUCCCCUCGGGUAACCACCAGUUUGUUCUCCAGAGUUAAGAGUCUGUUGUUUUGUUUGUCUCUUUUUUUCCCCUUGUUCGUUUGUUUUGUUUCUUAAAUUCCAUGUAUGAGUGACAUCAUAUAGUAUUUCUUUCUCUGACUUAUUUCACAUAGCAUUAUGCUGUCUAGAUCCAUCCAUGUGGUUGCAAAUGGUGUUCUUUAUUCUUCAUUCUUUAUUAUGGCUGAGUAAUAUUUCAUUGUAUCUAUAUACCACAUAUUCUUUAUCCAUUCAUCUGUUGAUAGGCACUUGGGUUGCUUCCAAAAUUUGACUAUUGUAAAUAAUGGUGCAAUAAAUGUAGGGAUGCGUGUUAUCUUUUUGAGUUAGUGUUUUCGUUUUCUUUGGGUAAAUACCUGGUAGUGGAAUUAUUGGAUCAUAUAAUAAUUCUAUUUUUAAUUUGUUGUGCAGCGUCCAUGCUGUUUUCCACAGUGGUUGCACCAGCUCAUCUCCCACCAGCAGUGCAUGAAAGUUCCUUUUUAGAAGAAUUGGUUUUUUCAAAGGCAUAGGGCAAUAUCCCCACUUGUGGCAAGUUACAACAUGAGGUAAGGCAAAUACAUGAAGACAUUCCGAACAAAAUCUGUAAAUGAGGCAUUUAGCCCAACAUCCCACAGUCCUCAGAGGAGCUGCUGAAACCGUGUCCACCAUAGCUCCCACCUCGUGUUCAUGAGUCACUAUCGCCAUUGAAGCUGUCUGGCCUUGCUCUUUUGCAUGGCACUGCCAUUCCCAUCGUGAUCUGUUGGUGAUUCAUUGCCCACCCUCCCCCCCAUCCUUCUUACAGUUCUCCACAUCUCAAGAACCUUUAGAACUGCUGCUCCUGGGGCGCCUGGGUGGCUCAGUUGGUCAGGUGUCUGACUGGAUCUCAGCUCAGGUCAUGGUCUCACAGUCAUGAGAUCGAGCUCCAAGUUGGGCUCCAUGCUGGGCGUGGAGCCUCCUUGGGAGUCUCUUUCUCUCCCUCUGCCCUUCCCCUGUUUGCUCACUCUCUCUCUCUCUCUCUCUCUCUCUCUCUC